GACGAACGCUGGCGGCGUGCUUAAUACAUGCAAGUCGAACGGAAAGGCCCUGCUUUUGUGGGGUGCUCGAGUGGCGAACGGGUGAGUAACACGUGAGUAACCUGCCCUUGACUUUGGGAUAACUUCAGGAAACUGGGGCUAAUACCGGAUAGGAGCUCCUGCUGCAUGGUGGGGGUUGGAAAGUUUCGGCGGUUGGGGAUGGACUCGCGGUUUAUCAGCUUGUUGGUGGGGUAGUGGCUUACCAAGGCUUUGACGGGUAGCCGGCCUGAGAGGGUGACCGGCCACAUUGGGACUGAGAUACGGCCCAGACUCCUACGGGAGGCAGCAGUGGGGAAUAUUGCACAAUGGGCGGAAGCCUGAUGCAGCAACGCCGCGUGCGGGAUGACGGCCUUCGGGUUGUAAACCGCUUUCGCCUGUGACGAAGCGUGAGUGACGGUAAUGGGUAAAGAAGCACCGGCUAACUACGUG
rnacentral:rRNA from 1 species